GCCCGGCUGGCACAAUUGGUUAGCGCGUGUAUGUACCACUGACUCAAAAUCGUUGGAUUGUUGAUACUGACUAUCUCAGGGGCCUUUUAAGAAGAUUCUCUUCUAAGAAUAGCCCAAGGUUGAGAGUUCGAGCCUCUCGUCGGGCG